UGAAGAAGGACUAUGGCUUCUCUUGGUGGUAGAAAAGUUUCGCUAAAGACUCUUCUAAUACAGAAGAGGAAGAAGAAGAAGAAAAUCGGUAUGUGUUGAUUCGGAAAUAUAACACCCACCAUCUCUACAUCCCAGGUGAAGUGGAAGGGGUAUGGUUCUGAUUAGGAUUCAUGGGAUCCCUCUUCCGUCUUUCACAGAGAUUAUAAUGAAGACGCUUGUCAAAGUCUUCGAUACAACCACCCUGAGACCAGAUUCAGGAAUGAAUGCGCAGAUGACUUCUUUUUGUUGCAGGAAUGGCAGCAACUUCACAAUCAGUAUAUCGAGAGAUUGUCCCGAGAUGAUGUCCAAGGCAGUGAAGAUAUUGGUCAGAUUUUGCCUGACGAACUUGUAGUUGAAGUACUUUGCUAUACAACUAAGUUUAGGUGAAGUGGAAGGGGUAUGUACCAUAUGGUUCUGAUUCAUGGGAUUCUUCAUA